UACGAAGGGGCUAGCGUUGCUCGGAAUGACUGGGCGUAAAGGGCGCGUAGGCGGAUUGUACAGUCAGGCGUGAAAUUCCCGGGCUCAACCUGGGGGCUGCGCUUGAGACGUGCGAUCUUGAGUGGGGAAGAGGGUCGUGGAAUUUCCCAGUGUGGAGGUGAAAUUCGUAGAUAUUGGGAAGAACACCGGUGGCGAAGGCGGCGAGCUGGUCCGUAUCUGACGCUGAGGCGCGACAGCGUGGGGAGCAAACAGG
rnacentral:rRNA from 1 species